rnacentral:lncRNA from 1 species
AUGGUGGAUCUUUGGUCAGAAUCUUCCUCCUCAGGUGAUGAAGCAUUGAAAAUCACUAGUUUAGAGGAGGAAACAGAAGCUAUGGAUUCAUGGAAAAUUUCCGAGGACAAGGCAUGUGAUAUUGGAGUUUCAAUCUUUGGAAUGGGUGGCAUCGGUAAAGUUUCUCUUCAUUGUCCAGGAUGUAGAAGAGAGCUGGGAGUUGUUCUGCAACGAGGAAUUCUAAUAGUUUUCUUCGAGCAUCCGCAGGAAAUAUAAGUUUAUAGAGAAAAUUGCUAAUUUUCAGGUUAGAAGAAAAUAA